CCUUAGAUAGCUCAGUUGGUAGAGCGGAGGACUGUAGAGGUUGUAUACGGCUAUCCUUAGGUCGCUGGUUCAAAUCCGGCUUGAAGGA
rfam:Astyanax mexicanus chromosome 7, whole genome shotgun sequence.